rnacentral:rRNA from 1 species
GAUGAACGCUAGCGGCAGGCCUAAUACAUGCAAGUCGAACGAGAUUAAGAGGCUUGCUUCUUAUGAAAGUGGCGCACGGGUGCGUAACGCGUAUGCAACCUACCUUAAUCAGGGGGAUAGCCCGAAGAAAUUCGGAUUAAGACCGCAUAAAAACACAGGAUAGCAUUAUCCAAUGUUCAAAUAUUUAUAGUAUUAAGAUGGGCAUGCGUGUCAUUAGCUAGUUGGCGGGGUAACGGCCCACCAAGGCGACGAUGACUAGGGGAUCUGAGAGGAUGACCCCCCACAAUGGUACUGCGACACGGACCAGACUCCUACGGGAGGCAGCAGUAAGGAAUAUUAGUCAAUGGAGGGAACUCUGAACCAGCCAUGCCGCGUGCAGGAAGACAGCCCUCUGGGUCGUAAACUGCUUUUAUUCGGGAAUAAACCUUUCUACGUGUAGGAAGCUGAAUGUACCGAAGGAAUAAGGAUCGGCUAACUCCGUG